ACAUUCAGAUGACUUGCUUAAUAUAAGAAGACAAGCCAAAAAGAAACACAAAUUCACACCUCAUAAAAUCUAGAUAUGACUGACUUUUCAGAUGCUUCUGAGUUCUUUGAAACAGCUGAUAUGAGUGAUGGCAGGGUGCAGGAAAAUCACUAUGAUGAAUCUUGUUAUUUUUACCAUUUUACUAUCAAAAGAAGACCAAGGGGGUCUAAAAGACGUGUAACGCUCCACAUUUUCAAGAGGAUAUGUAACUGUGGAAGAAAUUUGUAUAAUCCGGGUUACAUAACCUUCAAUGAUUUAGAAAAUGGUCCUAUCGAUGGUGUGGUUGUUCACGGUUUACCAGAAUGCGUAAUAAACAUUCAUAGAAAAUGGAAUCCUUAUCGCUGGAAUAUGAAAGAGGAUUGCAAAUGUGACACAAGAGGAAAUAGUUACAGGAAUUAACAAGCAGGAAGAUUAGCACGGGAUUGCAUUGCAGCAGAUUUACCAAUCGUUGUUACUAUGAUUCCGAAGUCUGCCUGUAUGAUAUCAAGUAAAGAUACAAAUCGACCUUUUUUCCCCUCGAAAUUCCCACUUGGAACACAAAAUGUUGUUUAUUUAAUUUUUUUUUUAUUUUUUGUGUGGUUGUAUCAUAAAUAUAUUUUUUUAAAUACAUGGUAACAAUACCUGCACAUAAUUUGUUAAAAUUGUCUAUAUGAGAUGCUACAACUUUAUACAAUAAUACAUGGUGAUAAAGACCUUCCCGUUCAUGUAACUCAUAUAAGAUGGAUACUGUUUAUUUAAUAAUUUAAAAGUAUUUCAAACACAAAAAUACGAUUAUUUUCAAAUUUUAUCUAUUUUCUUUAUAAAAUUAUUGUGGCACUGUAAACUGUAAGGAAUGGCUAGACCAAAAAAAAAGCAUUUUAAUUAACAGAUUCUGAUGAAAUUGUCUUAACAUGUUAUUGUUAAUUAAAAUAUUUAAAUAAACUUUGAAAAAAUUAAUUCCAAAAGGUACUGCAUUUUUUAAGUUCAUUUUUUGUUCUCGUUUUCCACUAUUAUGUUAAUCAAUUUUCGUAAAUUUAAACAUCCGUUGGUUUUUCUUAUGUUGGAAAAUUACAUUUUACAUUUAUUUUAUUAACUUUCUAUAUAGUAUGUUUCAUUUUCUGAUACUGGAGAACUGAUUUUGUAUGUUCCAAAUUCAAUACAUGUAUUUGUAAGGUAGAAUAAAUUUUCUUCUGAUAAAAACAUUGAAUUUGUCUUGUUUUGACUUCUUGAUGACAAAAUUUAAAGAAAUCCAUGUACACUGUACCAAACUUACUUCCAUCACUGUACUACAUUGUACCACUAGUGUGCAAGCUAGGGAGCUAGAUUUCUUCUAUUUUGCUUUAGAUAAUUUGUUUGUUUGUUUUUUAUGCCUCCGUAAACGAAGUUUCGGAGGUAAAUAGUUUUUGUCGUGUCCGUCCGUCUGUCUGUCUCUCUGUUUGUCUAUUUGUCCGCAAAAACUUUAACCUUGCCCAUAACUUUUGAUUUAGUGGAGCUAUGAUUUUUAUAUUUCGUAUAACGUGUAUUACUUGUGACAAAACCUUUCUUUGGAUACUACUAAAUUUGGCAUUUUGACCUUGACCUUGGAGUUUGACCCACUUAAACACAAAAAUUCCAAACUUUUACUAUGGCCAUAUCUUUUGAACAAUAAUAAACAGGACAUUUAUACUUCACAUAUGUAUUUUUUGUGGCAAGACCUUUUAUUGCAUACCAACAACCUUGACCUUUUGACCUUGACCUUGGAGAUUUUAAAUUUGUGAAAAAACUUGAACCUUGUACAGUACUUUUGAACGGCAAGGGAUAGGGUUUUCAUCACAUAUGUAAUUCUUGUUAAAAAAAAAACCUUCAUUGAAUACCAAGAAUUUUGACCCUUUGACCUUGGAGUUUGACCUCCUUUUAAAAAGCAAACCUUGACCUUAACUUUUAAAGGGUUAAGGCUAUUGCUUUCAUAUUUUACAUUAUUAAUCUUUGUGACAAAGCCUUUCAUUUGAAAGCAAGACUCUUUACCUUUUGACCUUGACCUUUGAGUUUGACCUUCUGUUAAAGAAAUUAACCUUGGCCAUAACUUCUGAACUGUUAAGGCUAGGGCUUCCAUUACUCUACAUAUGUAUUCUAUGUGGUAAGGCCUUUCAUUGAAUACCAAUUACCUUGACCUUUUGACCUUGACCUCGGAGAUAUUGUACUUAAUGAAAAAAAUUUAACGUUGACCAUAACUUUAGAAUACUAAGGGCUAGUGACCCUUUCACUUAUGUUAUCCUUCUGAAAAGACCCUUCAUUGGAUACUAGGAACUUUGACUCUUUGACCUUGGAGUUUUACCUACUUUUAAAAAGAAAACCUUGACAUUUCCUUUUAAAGGGUUAGUGCUAGUGCUUUCAUACUUUUCAUAUUUGAUCCUUGUGACAAGACCUUUUAUUUGAAGAGGCCAAGACCUUCGACCUUGGCCUUAAAGUUUGACCUACUUAUUAAAAUUUUAACCUUGGCCAUAACUUCUGAACGGUAAGUGCUAGAGUUUCCAUACUUUACAUAUGUAUAUUAUGUUGCAAGACCUUUCAUUGGAUACCAUUGACCUUGACCUUGAAGAUUUCUGUACUUAUGAAAAAAUUUUAACAUUGGCCUACUUUCAUUUUUCACAAUUGUAUUUCCAGUGAGAAUGCCUUACUUCUGGUACCAAUAUAUUAAAUUUGCAUUAACGAAAAUUUUAAUCUUUGCUAUAUUUCCAUACAUUUAGUGGUUCACAAAUACAUCUUGUUAGUUGCUGUUUUUAUGAUCAUAUUUAUUAGUUCCCUACCUGUGAAAACAAAGGGGCUAUAGGUUUCCUUUGAGUCCGUCCGUCUAGCUGUCCCUUUGUCUGUCAGUCAGUCUGUCCAAUUCGAUUUUCCGCACUUUUUUUCUUAAAGCUUGCAGAUAGUGAGCUGAUUUUUGGCAUGUAAACAUAUCAUAAGUUACAAAUCAAGUAAAAAAUUUGAUUCCACUUCAAUAAUUCUUUUAGAGAAUCACACCUUUUAAAAACAUUUUUAUGGUAUUCUGCUCUUUAUUCUAAAUGCUUGAGUAUUUUGAGCUGAUUUUCAGUAUCUAAAUGUAUCUUGAUGAGUUACGUAUACAGAUCAAGUUUAUAUUUUUGUUCCAUUUCAACGAUUUUUGAGUGAAAUUAUAGUCCUUUGAUUUAUAUGGGAACCAGAUUGCACUUGCAAAUGCCGGUAGGGGGGACUACUAUUGGAAAUUCAAUACAAAUGUUCUCCCAGAAUACUUGUUGAUAUUGAUGUAUGUUUUAUGUAUGAGUUUAUAAGCAGGAUUCCAUAUUUAGGAUAUGCCACAUUCACAAAAAUGAGCUAAACAUAGUUUCAAAGUCCAUUAACUAGGUUUAUCGGUUGGAAACUAUAGUUUACGGACUAUAAACUAUAGUUAACAACGUUAUUCUAUAUUUUACUUCUGUAAACCCUAGUUAACACGUUAAUCUAUGUUAAGGUAAUUCCAAACUCCUAUGACGUCAUAGUUUUUUUUCAAAAAUUGUCAUUUAUUGAAAAUCAUACCAAAUAGAACAGUAUCUUUUGGAAGAAUGCUUUUCAAUAGGUGUAAUGAUCAAUUUUGUUAAUUAAAAGAAUUUUAAAAAUACAUUUUUAAUAUUUAAUCAAUUAUUUUAAUCUUUAAAAAAUGUUGACAAGGGCAAUAACUCUUUCUCAGGUUUCUUCAUUCAGGCAUUUUCUUCAUUGUACUUUAUUGUACUUCUAAUGUAAAAUAGUUUCUCUGAUAUUCACAAUUCAAAAGUAUCUUAUAAAAGGGAAGUAUUUCGGAAGUUUCAGCAUCAGAAUUUUUGCAUUUGAACCAGUUUUUUUAAUACUAUUUACAAAACGUGUACAAUUUUUUCAUGUUGAUAAAUACAUGUACUUUUGUCUCUCAUUUUAAAAAAAAAAAACAUGG